UCUGUAACUAAACUAAGCCUUAAAAAAACCUCUACCGCUCGUCUCUCUCUCUCUCUCUCUCUCUCCCCAAAACCCUAGAUGUAAGAAUGGCAUCAAGAGAUCUCAUCACAAGCCACUCGAAGCUCCUCUCUCGAAUGGCUGUUCGUUCCCUUCGCACCUUCGCUUAUUCCGACUCCAAUUCCGAAUCAUAUAUUCCAACUAACAAUUCGGAUUCGGACUCGUGCUCCAAACAACUUCCUCACGCUGAAGGUAAGAAAAACAGAGCAUUCAAUCGAUUCCUAAAAGAAGGACCAGCAUAUCCCUGCAAAGAUGAUGAUCAACACUUGAUCAAUGAGUUCAAAUUCAAAUGGAAAUUACAUCUUCAUCUGUCAUAUCAGAUUUGGCUGACUAAUUCUUGCAUUGUUAGCCGCAAAUGAUGAUGAGGAACACUUGCGACAGCCGGCAAUGGUUUAUAAACUUAGAGCCUGAUGCAGUUAGAGAUGUUGUGAGUAAUACCUUUUUUACUAAUGAAGCUGGUGAUGCAAUCAACGGUGAGGGCCCAGGUAUACACCCUGCCUAAUUGUACAGCGUGGCUAUGCCACACAGGCGACACCCGAGCGGUAAGGACUUUACAUGAUGACUACUACGUGGCAUGAGGCAAGUGGAGUGCUAGUGUAUUCCAGCUUAGUGUAGAGAAAUAUACAGUAUUGUAGAGAGAGUCGGAAGAUUUUAGAAUAUUGGAGAACAUGUAAAUAUGUAGAGAAGUAGAGAAGAGAAGAUUCUAGAUGAGUAGGGAAUUUUGUUGAGUUUGUAAAUACGUAAAAUAUGUAUGAAGUUAAAGAGAGUGGUGAGGAGGCCUAUAAAUAGAUGACUAGUGUCAUAUGUAACCAACAAGUCCUAGAGUGUGAGUUGAGAGCCAAGUGUCAUUUGUAACCAAGUUCUAGAGUGUGAGUUGAGAGCUAAAUAGAGAACUUGAGCUAGCCUUGUACAAAGCAUUCUUUGUAGUAAUAGAAGUGUUCAUUCCUUGUACAAAGCAUUCCUAUACAAUAUGAUUAACUGGUUUAUAAUUACAUGUUUAAGCAGCAAAUUUAUGUUUUGGAGAGUUGUCCGAUUAAUUUACCAAGAGACGGUAUAUUUGCAUGUAUUUGGCGUCCGCCACCUGUUGGUUGGCACAAGUUAAACGUUUCUGGGUUUUUUAAGGAAAAUCUUGGUGGGACUAAAGAAGCUUCUUGUGGAGAAGUAUUCCGAGAUUGUAAGGGAAUGAUUUUGGAAAUUUCCAUAAGCCACUUCCUGAUGCAACGUCUAGAGAUGAAGUAUUCUUACUUGGAGUGCAUCAUGGGAUUGAUGAAAUUCUCCGAAGUAAAUCAGAAGUAAAGGAAAUGAUAUUUGAGAUUGACCAUAAAACAAUUGUCAAGGUGCUAAAUGAUGAGAAGCGUAUACCAGUGGAGUAUUUAGAACUUUUUAAUUACGCUUUUUGUAUAAAGUUUGGGUUUAUUCUUUAAAUUUAGAUUUCUGUUUUCAAUUAUAUUGAUAUAAAAACUAUUGUUUUGCACAAAAAUUAUUGAUAUGUUGAAAAUUUUUGAUGUUUAUCACAUAAAGUUUCUACAUCCUCAAGGAAAUGCUAUAGCUAAUAGAGUUGCGUAUAUAGCUUCACGUUUGACCUUGGGAGUUGGGACAAAGUUUUCCGAAAGGCAAAAAAGGUUUUGAGACACAAGUCAUGUGUGAUCAAUUGAAGAUUCCACGACAUGAGAUCUAUCCGAAAAAAGGAAUUGAAGCUGAAGAAUCAUCGGAUAACGAAUCAUCCAAUGGCGAAUCGUCUGAUGAGGAAUUGUCUUUAGACAAAUCUGAAGUCAGGUUUUAGGGGCAACAUGGUAUUUGCUGUCAGUUGACGUGCUGGAAAUCAUACUGCAAGAGGGAUUGCAAAAAAGAUUCUGGCCCUACAAAAUGCCGCCUUAAUUAUUUGGAAUGUGAUGCUCUUGACCAUGAGGAUUGCAAGAAUUGUGCAAAUUGUAGAAAUUUUAUUAAGGGUUGGAUCCCGAGAAUGUUAUCAAGUACGUAAUAUUUAAAAAAGCAGUGACAAAAAUUGUGUGGUCUCCCCAAAGUUUCUUGAAAAGUAAAUUUUUUAUUGUUUGUGAUUGGGUUUCCAAAAAUUUAGGAAUGUUUUAUCCAAUGGGUAUCACUUGCAUCCACAAACACUUCGUUGUUUUUAUUUCAUUACUAUUACUAAAUAUUAGCGUCAGUUCUCUGUGGAUUCUGUAAA